rnacentral:rRNA from 1 species
AAUGGGUCAGCGACUUAUAUUCUGUAGCAAGGUUAACCGAAUAGGGGAGCCGAAGGGAAACCGAGUCUUAACUGGGCGUUAAGUUGCAGGGUAUAGACCCGAAACCCGGUGAUCUAGCCAUGGGCAGGUUGAAGGUUGGGUAACACUAACUGGAGGACCGAACCGACUAAUGUUGAAAAAUUAGCGGAUGACUUGUGGCUGGGGGUGAAAGGCCAAUCAAACCGGGAGAUAGCUGGUUCUCCCCGAAAGCUAUUUAGGUAGCGCCUCGUGAAUUCAUCUCCGGGGGUAGAGCACUGUUUCGGCAAGGGGGUCAUCCCGACUUACCAACCCGAUGCAAACUGCGAAUACCGGAGAAUGUUAUCACGGGAGACACACGGCGGGUGCUAACGUCCGUCGUGAAGAGGGAAACAACCCAGACCGCCAGCUAAGGUCCCAAAGUCAUGGUUAAGUGGGAAACGAUGUGGGAAGGCCCAGACAGCCAGGAUGUUGGCUUAGAAGCAGCCAUCAUUUAAAGAAAGCGUAAUAGCUCACUGGUCGAGUCGGCCUGCGCGGAAGAUGUAACGGGGCUAAACCAUGCACCGAAGCUGCGGCAGCGACGCUUAUGCGUUGUUGGGUAGGGGAGCGUUCUGUAAGCCUGUGAAGGUGUGCUGUGAGGCAUG